CUCUAUAGUGUAGGAGGUGGUAUAGUAUUUACGUGGUUACAUGCAGUAGAGUAGGCAACAACAGAACACCGAUGUGACACCUCUCUUUAAAAUAAAGCUUUAAGUUCGUGCGCCUGCGCAACAUUUCGGGGCUUGGAGAGUAACUGAAGGCUUUUUGGAGACCACCAUUGAUACGAGGAUUGCUCUGCAAAGAAAAAAUAACUAUUACUCAAGCCCAUUGAAAUGAUUACGAGAUGCCGCUUGCCUAAUUAUCGUGAACUUGCGUUGGAACAAAUUACAACACAUUAUUGAACGGGUUGCAAUGGAGCCAACGAUUUCCUCCGUAUACAAACAAAACCGAGGCUUCUGUUUUUAAGGUGGAUAUUUAAGCUAGCAGCUACCUAGCCAGUCUACAUUGGAGUUAGUCUCUUUGUAAACACUGCGUCAGUUGUGCUAGCUAGCUAACUACCAUAACAAAGAAACAUGGGACUCGUAUAUUGUUGAAAGGAGGCAGACUCCUUUCCAUACGUUAGCUAAACAUGCGAGAAGAAAAUCGUUCUUUCUCAGGAAGGCAGCCAAUGGCAAUCGAAAGACGAGGUGAACUUUCCAGCUGUGCUGACUUCACCGAGGAGGAAGGGACAUCCGAGAGAGAUCUGCAACCCUGCAACGCUUUUCAUUUUACCUCAAAAUAAAACCCUGAGGUUCUGGAGCGAUGGAAACCGUGGGGAAAUUCGAGUUUAGCAGGAAGGAUUUGAUAGGACACGGUGCAUUUGCGGUGGUGUUCAAAGGCAGGAAUAGAGAGAAACACGACUGGGAGGUGGCUGUGAAAUGCAUAAACAAGAAGAACUUGGCAAAGUCUCAGACCCUUUUGGGGAAAGAGAUCAAAAUUCUCAAGGAACUAAAACAUGAAAACAUUGUUGCAUUACAUGACUUUCAGGAAACAGCCAGUUCUGUGUACCUGGUCAUGGAGUACUGCAAUGGUGGGGACCUGGCGGACUAUCUACACUCCAAGGGCACCCUGAGUGAGGACACUAUCCGAGUGUUCCUGCAGCAGAUAGCCGGGGCCAUGAGGGUGCUGCAGGCCAAGGGGAUCAUUCACAGAGACCUCAAACCACAGAACAUUCUGCUCUCCUACCCCGCAGGACGCAAGUCCCACUCUACCAACACCUGCAUCAAGAUAGCUGACUUUGGGUUUGCACGGUACCUUCAGAACAACAUGAUGGCUGCUACUCUGUGUGGGUCCCCUAUGUACAUGGCACCUGAAGUCAUCAUGUCUCAGAACUAUGAUGCCAAGGCUGACCUGUGGAGCAUCGGUACCAUUUUGUUCCAGUGUCUGACAGGGAAAGCCCCGUUUCAGGCUAGCAGUCCCCAGGACCUCCGGCUAUUUUAUGAGAAAAACAAGAACCUCAGCCCCAAUAUCCCCAGAGAGACCUCCUGUCCCCUGAGGCUUCUGCUGCUGGGUCUUCUGCAGCGAAACCACAAGGACCGCAUGGACUUUGAGGAGUUCUUCCGUCACCCCUUCCUGGAGGCGAGCUCGUCCAUGAAGAAAACAACUCCUGCUGUGACCAUGACGUGCUUUCCCAGCUCUGCUUCAGCCAGCUCCUGUAGCAGCUCUUCCACCUCACACCUGGCCUCCCCACCGCAGUCCCUGGCUGAGGUCCAGCAGGUCCGUACUAAAACACUCGCUUCUCCUACCCAGGAUUCCCCUGGCUUCCUCCUCAAGGACUCGUCUGGAGGGGGCUGCAGCAGUAAGAACUCCUCCUGUGACACAGAUGACUUUGUCAUGGUGCCCGCCCACUAUCCCACAGGUGAGCUCACCUGUGAGGGGCCUACUGGAAAGGUGUUCCACGACAGUCUGAUGAACAGCGGCUCUCUGUUAGCCUUUGGUGGCCUGGGCAGUCAGGGCAAGACCCCACCCCACUCCCCCUCCUACAGUGGCUCCCCCAAUCCUAUCAGUCGGCCUAACGAGUUCUCUGGCAGUAACUGUGGUAACUAUGGUCAGUCGGUGCCCAUUCCGGUUCCCACUCAGGUCCAAAACUACCAGCGUAUGGAGCAGAAGCUCCAUUCCCCCAGCCAGGACGGCUCCCCACGGCUGUCCACCCCAGUGCGUCGCUGUAGCAGCAAUAGUUCACUGGGAUUUGGAAGGACUGGCCCAUCUCUGCCUUACCCAGGAGGCUACGGGGCCUUGGCUGGCCUCCGCAGGCUGUCUGUAGGAGGAGCCAGACCCUUCCAGCUUUCACCUCAAGUGGGUACCAUCCCUGAGCUGCCAGGGCAGGUGCGCCCGCUGGGCACAGACACCAGUAGCGGGGGGUCGCAGGAUGGAGCUCUCCAGUUCCUCGACAUGCGGCCUCCCGCUCAGCAGCAAGGCCUGGUCACCCGGCUUCACAGCGCCCCAUGUCUCCUCGAGGCUGCUAGCAGGGGCGGCAGGCAAAAUAUCAGGAAGCAGCACUCUGACCCAGUGGUGGCCAACCACCAGGCAGGCAUGGUGACUAUGCGGCCCCUGCACUCCUCCCCCAGGCUGAGUGAACUCAUGCAGCGCAGCCCCCUCCCCACCAUUCUAGGAUCUCCCUCGAGAGCCAUCCCACCCUUUGAGUUUCCAAAACCUCCCAGCACCCCCAACCUGGUGACCUUCCUGGCCCAGCAGGGCCUGGUUCUGGCCCCGCCUGGCAGCAGGACUGCCUCAGACCACAGGGACCCAGGACAGCCGCCCACUGGGCAGCUUGGUCAAUACAGCCACAGGACCGCAGAGGACAACAAGAGCUUUGGCAGGUCUCAGAGUGCAAGUCGUUUGUCUGACAUGUUGCUGAUGGCUGCAUUUGGAGGCCCGCUGGGGGAGCGGGGGAGCAAUGAGAACCUCUGCUCUAACAGAGGAGCCAUAGACAUCACAGCACCCUCUGGUGAUGGUGCCAUGGCUGCAGGCUCAGCCAGCCCAGCCCAGGUGGUGUUCACUGUGGGCUCCCCACCCAACAGCAGCACCCUACCACACACCUCAAGGACCAGGCAGUACUCAGCAGGCUCCUCCAGCUCUAUCAGCCCAGUGGGGUCCUUUACCAGCCGAUAUCAGACAGGCACCUAUCUGGAAGGCUUUGAGGAUCCCUCCAGUCCACGCUACAGCUUCACGGACCCCAUCACGGCCAACAUGGGGGGACCGGUCACCUUCCUGGCCCCUGAGCUGCCAGAGGAGACACUGAUGGCGCAGGAGCACACAGAGACCCUGAGGAGCCUUCACUUCACCCUGGACUUUGCCUGCUGUCUGAUGGAGGUGGCGGGAGUCAGGGGGACCGGGGCUGGGGCUGUGGCGGAGCAAGGGGACACCUCCCCACCCUCCCUCCUGCAGCAGCAGAGCCUGGUGGCAGACCAGAUCAGCUCCCUCAGCCGGGAGUGGAGCUAUGCGGAGCAGCUGGUGUUGUACAUGAAGACUGCAGAGCUCCUGUCGUCUGCCUUACACACAGCCAUGGAGUGCAUCAAACAGGGCAAACUGUACCCCUCUGCUACUGUCAAACAAGUGGUGAAGAGACUGAACAAGCUUUUCAAGUCCAGCGUGUCGUCCUGCCUCUCCCUCAACGCCCGGCUGGAGCGCUUCUUCUCUAGGAAGCACCGUCUCAUGGACCACAUUAACACUAUCACCGCCGAGAGGCUGCUGUUCAGCCACACCGUUCAGAUGGUGAGGGAGAUACUGUGUUCAGCUCAACACCGUUCAGAUGGUGCAGGCUGCUGCUCUGGAUGAGAUGUUCCACCAGGGAGAGGCGUCGGUGCAGCGCUACCACAAGGCCCUGCUGCUGAUGGAGGGCCUAUCCCUGCUCCUCACCGAGCACGAAGACAUCCUCAUCGUUACCAAAUGUAAGGAGUGCAUCGAGCGCCGCCUCACAGCACUACAGUCAGGGCUCUGCAUCUGAGGACUCAGCACCCGUGGAUGCUGCUAAACUAUGAUGUCAGUCAUUCUGGACAGACACCACCAUGCCCAUUCAAUCUGACCCCCUACCUACCAACUCAGUAUCCUCCCUCCACCCUCUAGUUUCCAUGGAGAUACCAGCCAGUGGGGGGGGGUGUUAUGAAGGGCCUGGACUGGGUAUGCUUGGGACUGGUGACGCUGGUCUCUCAUACUCACGGUGGAGCCUGUGACCGCCUGGUUGAUGUUGGAGAUGAAGGGCUUGUGAGAAGGCCACUACUCACUCCUCCGUGUGUCAGACAGGACCCCAAUACACGGACUGAGUGUGUUAGCUAUUCAUUUCUGUGCAGUGUCCCAUACACACAGCCACUUACCGUCAGUAACGCUGCCCUGAGCAAUCACAGCCAAGCGGUCUGCCGGAGGAUUCUACUGCAGUCACAGACACGCUCCAUUUGAUUCUGUCAAUAAUUCAGCGCUAAGCAAUCACAAAUAGACCCUCACUCCUCUUAAGACAUGAGGUAUCACUCUAUAAGAAGCCACUCUGUGUAAAAAAUAUUAAUCUCAACCCCUACGUGGGGCAUUGUGCUAUUUUUAGUUUGGCUUGUAAUGGUGAUUUGUGGACAAUAGUAUAGCGUGAUAUUACAGCGAGUGGGCUUAACUUGUCUGUUUGCCUCUUUUUGGUUUCUUUGAUGGUUUACAUUGAUUUAGAUUUUAUUUGUCGUUUUCAAGGAAACCAGAAGAGUUUAAGAGCGUUAACACAAUUGUAUGGCCUGUCACAGCCCACAGGCCUGUGUGUGGAGAAAAAAAUGUUGUGUGUUAUUGACCCAGCUUAAUGUACAUUCCUGUGAUAGAACCAUAUAAAGGUGCUGUUACAGAAGUAUUGUACUUUAUUCAUCCCUGUCUGUGACAAUUUGUUGAUGCUAAGUUUGCCGUAUUAAGAAUGACAAUGUUGCCCUUUUGGACCCAACAGAUAGAUUUUUUUUGACCAUAAACAGGAGAAUGUAGAGAGGAUUGCUGUACGUGCCACUUCUGGGCCUUGACAGAAAAUGGACCUCACUGCGCAUUUCCUUUUGACCAAAGUGUUUGAUAUGGCUGCCAUGGUGGAAGAACAGCUGGAACUGCAUAAACCCCAUUGAGCUUUUUAGUCUGAGUGCUUGAGAUGGAUCAUCUUAUUAAUAUUUCCUGAAGUUUGUAGCAAAUAUUGUUAUUUUAUCCAGUAUAGGCCAGGAAUAUUGCCCGAAUUGAAAAAUAAACCAAUUUGCACUGA